rnacentral:lncRNA from 1 species
CCCAGGGACUUUAUAAAUACACAAAUUUGCCUCAAAUAUUAUAUAUGUGUGUGUGUAUAUAUAUAUACACACACAUGUAUUUAUGUAUUUUUUACAAAGAAAAACUUGCCAGGCUCGGUGGCUCACGCCUGUAAACUCAGCACUUUGGGAGGCUGAGGCAGAGGGAUCACUAGGUCAGGAAUUCGAGACUGGCCUGGCCAAUACGGUGAAACCCAUCUCUACUAAAAAUACAAAAAUUAGCCGGGCGUAGUGGCGGGAGCCUGUAGUCCCAGCUACUCCGGAGGCUGAGGCAGGAGAAUCGCUUGAACGCGGGAGGCAGAGAUUGCAGUGAGCUGAGAUCGCACCACUGCACUCCAGCCUGGGCGAAAAAGAGACUGUGUUUCCAAAAAAAAAAAAAAAAAAAAAAGGAAAAAAAGAAAGAAGAAAAACUGCUUUGGAAGAACACAGCACACAAGGGAAGCAGGGAGAAGGAAUUAAGAAAACGGUGUCCACAAGGGGCUAUCGUCGUCCGGUGAACGGGUCUAGAGCACAUGAGAGGCCGGUGGGGCAUGCUGGGAAGGCAGCUGCCCAGAGCACGCCGGGAUCGAGGAGUCUUCUCUGCUUCCCAAACCGGGAGUCCCAGCCACAGCCCGGGGGCCCUGGAAACUCCAGCCAGUUUAUUAAAGUGCCUUCCCCGCCUGUGACCAUCAGGCAAAGGGAGAAUCUUGCCGGGAAUUUCACUUCCAGCCAAUGAGGAAUUUUCAGAAAAGCGAAAUGGAAGGCAUCAUUUUGGCAUCUCUGCGGAUCUGUAUUCUGAAAGGUAGAUGCUCAGCUGUUGUGUUUUAAAUAAGCCUCUGCGCAACAUUAUGUAGGGGAAAGAGUCCACAGUUUGUUUUUCCCUGGGUGUCGCCUCAUUUUCAUAUGUGAAUGAUGAAAGGUGUUGAUUAGGCCAUGUGCUUUAAGAUAUAGCUAUCUCUUGGCCCCCAUCGUCCCAGCCCGUCACCAGGCCAUUCAGCUGGGACAGGGAGCUGAAAAUGAGAGGAUGUCUAGGGAAGGCAGAGAGAAUGGUAGUAGGGGAGAUCUGGG